rnacentral:rRNA from 1 species
UACAUGCAAGUCGAGCGGACAGAUGGGAGCUUGCUCCCUGAUGUUAGCGGCGGACGGGUGAGUAACACGUGGGUAACCUGCCUGUAAGACUGGGAUAACUCCGGGAAACCGGGGCUAAUACCGGAUGGUUGUUUGAACCGCAUGGUUCAGACAUAAAAGGUGGCUUCGGCUACCACUUACAGAUGGACCCGCGGCGCAUUAGCUAGUUGGUGAGGUAACGGCUCACCAAGGCAACGAUGCGUAGCCGACCUGAGAGGGUGAUCGGCCACACUGGGACUGAGACACGGCCCAGACUCCUACGGGAGGCAGCAGUAGGGAAUCUUCCGCAAUGGACGAAAGUCUGACGGAGCAACGCCGCGUGAGUGAUGAAGGUUUUCGGAUCGUAAAGCUCUGUUGUUAGGGAAGAACAAGUGCCGUUCAAAUAGGGCGGCACCUUGACGGUACCUAACCAGAAAGCCACGGCUAACUACGUGCCAGCAGCCGCGGUAAUACGUAGGUGGCAAGCGUUGUCCGGAAUUAUUGGGCGUAAAGGGCUCGCAGGCGGUUUCUUAAGUCUGAUGUGAAAGCCCCCGGCUCAACCGGGGAGGGUCAUUGGAAACUGGGGAACUUGAGUGCAGAAGAGGAGAGUGGAAUUCCACGUGUAGCGGUGAAAUGCGUAGAGAUGUGGAGGAACACCAGUGGCGAAGGCGACUCUCUGGUCUGUAACUGACGCUGAGGAGCGAAAGCGUGGGGAGCGAACAGGAUUAGAUACCCUGGUAGUCCACGCCGUAAACGAUGAGUGCUAAGUGUUAGGGGGUUUCCGCCCCUUAGUGCUGCAGCUAACGCAUUAAGCACUCCGCCUGGGGAGUACGGUCGCAAGACUGAAACUCAAAGGAAUUGACGGGGGCCCGCACAAGCGGUGGAGCAUGUGGUUUAAUUCGAAGCAACGCGAAGAACCUUACCAGGUCUUGACAUCCUCUGACAAUCCUAGAGAUAGGACGUCCCCUUCGGGGGCAGAGUGACAGGUGGUGCAGGGUUGUCGUCACCUCCUGUCCUGAAAAUGUUGGGUUAAGUCCCGCAACGAG